rnacentral:rRNA from 1 species
UACGAAGGGUGCAAGCGUUACUCGGAAUUACUGGGCGUAAAGCGUUUGUAGGCGGCUCUAUAAGUCGGGUGUGAAAUCCCAUGGCUCAACCAUGGAAGUGCAUUCGAAACUGCAGAGCUUGAAUAUGGAAGAGGGCAGUAGAAUUCCUGGUGUAGUGGUGAAAUACGUAGAUAUGGGGAGGAACACCGGUGGCGAAGGCGGCCAUCUGGACGGUAACUGACGCUGAGACGCGAAAGCGUGGGGAGCAAACAGG